CUACCAUGCAGUCGCACGAGAAAGGGACUUCGGUCCUGAGUACAGUGGCGCACGGGUGAGUAACACGUGAAUCAUCUACCUUCGAGUGGGGAAUAACUGAGAGAAAUCUUAGCUAAUACCGCAUAAUACCUACGGGUCAAAGCAGCAAUGCGCUUGAAGAGGAGUUCGCGGCAGAUUAGUUAGUUGGCAGGGUAAUGGCCUACCAAGACGAUGAUCUGUAUCCGGCCUGAGAGGGCGCACGGACACACUGGAACUGAAACACGGUCCAGACUCCUACGGGAGGCAGCAGUGGGGAACUUUGCGCAAUGGGGGAAACCCUGACGCAGCAACGCCGCGUGGAGGACGAAAUCCCUUGGGAUGUAAACUCCUUUCGAUAGGGAAGAUAAUGACGGUACCUAUAGAAGAAGCCCCGGCUAACUUCGUGCCAGCAGCCGCGGUAAUACGAGGGGGGCAAGCGUUGUUCGGAAUUAUUGGGCGUAAAGGGUGCGUAGGCGGUUUGACAAGUCUUAUGUGAAAUCUUCGGGCUCAACCCGAAGUCUGCAUGGGAAACUGUCGGGCUUGAGUAUGGGAGAGGUGAGUGGAAUUUCCGGUGUAGCGGUGAAAUGCGUAGAUAUCGGAAGGAACACCUGUGGCGAAAGCGGCUCACUGGACCAUAACUGACGCUGAUGCACGAAAGCUAGGGGAGCAAACAGGAUUAGAUACCCUGGUAGUCCUAGCCCUAAACGAUGAUUGUUUGAUGUGGGGGGUACCCAAUCCUCCCGUGUCGAAGCUAACGCGAUAAACAAUCCGCCUGGGGGAGUACGUCGCAUGCUGAACUCAAAGAUUGACGGGGCCGCACAGCGGUGAGCAUGUGAUUAUCGACGCACGCGAAGACUAACUUGG
rnacentral:rRNA from 1 species